rnacentral:rRNA from 1 species
AGUCAGGGAUUGACAUGGGGGCACCCUGAUCAGCACGCCCGUGGUGAAGAAGGCCCUCGGGCUGUAAACCCAUCUGGGUGGGAAGCUGAUGACGGUACCACCCGAAUAGUCCCGGCUAACUACGUGCCAGCAGCCGCGGUAAAACGUAGGGGACAAGCGCUCUCCGGACCUCCUGGGCGUAAAGCGCCCGUAGGCGGCCUUGAUAAGCCUGGACGUGAAAGCUCCUUGGCUUUAACUUGGGAGAGGUCGUUCAGGACCUGUCAGGCUUAGAGGCCUGAAAGAAGGAACGUGGAAUUUUCCGGUGUAGUGGUGGAAAUGCGUAGAUAUCGGGAGGAACACCAUUGGCGAAAGCGGCGUUCUGUUUCAGCCCUUGACGUUUGAGGGGCGAAAGCGUGGGUUAGCGAACGGGACUAGAUACCCCGGUAGUCCACGCUUGUAAACGAUGUUACUAGGUGUAGGCGGUUACAAACCCCGUCUGUGCCGAAGCCAACGCUUUAAGUAUCCCGCCUGGGGAGUACGACCGCAAGUCA